CACCUACGGGUGGCUGCAGUCGAGAAUUUUUCACAAUGGGCGCAAGCCUGAUGGAGCGACGCCGCGUGGGGGAUGAAUGGCUUCGGCCCGUAAACCCCUGUCAUUUGCGAUCAACCGUUAUUAUUUAAAAGAUGAUGACCUGAUAGUAGCGAAAGAGGAAGGGACGGCUAACUCUGUGCCAGCAGCCGCGGUAAUACAGAGGUCCCAAGCGUUGUUCGGAUUCACUGGGCGUAAAGGGUGCGUAGGUGGCGAGGUAAGUCGGAUGUGAAAUCUCCAAGCUUAACUUGGAAAAUGCAUUGGAAACUACCUUGCUCGAGGGUUGGAGGGGGGACUGGAAUACUUGGUGUAGCAGUGAAAUGCGUAGAUAUCAAGUGGAACACCAGUGGCGAAAGCGAGUCCCUGGACAACUCCUGACACUGAGGCACGAAAGCUAGGGGAGCAAACAGGAUUAGAUACCCUGGUAGUCCUAGCCGUAAACGGUGCACGUUUGCUGUAAAAGGAAUCGACCCCUUUUGUGGCGAAGCUAACGCGUUAAACGUGCCGCCUGGGAAGUACGGUCGCAAGAUUAAAACUCAAAGAAAUUGACGGGGGCCUGCACAAGCGGUGGAGUAUGUGGCUCAAUUCGA
rnacentral:rRNA from 1 species